rnacentral:lncRNA from 1 species
UUAUUGGCUAGUUUUGGAGUUUUAUGCAUCAAUUUGAGUCUUCAGAAGGGCGUGGAAUGCCAGUUAUGGAUCUUCAAAGUGAGGUGAGUCUCCUUUCUAACUUUGUAAGAGGAAAUUGUCCACAUAGGUGAAAUAAUUAAAUAUGUGCUCCAAGUUGUGGGGCUACAUACGCACGAGGUGAUAAGAGUCCAUGUAUAGCUACUAUUAUGUUUAAGUCUGGGUAGUCUAUAAACCAAAAGCAUGCUAUACUUGGAUUAUUUGUAACAUCAUUGACAGUUGAAUUGCUUAAAUCAUAUCGAAUUUGUAAAUACAUUUCUAAAAAUAAUUAAACUUCAUUAUUCUAAAUUACAAAAGAGAAUUGGUUAUCUUUGGAUAAUGGUUUCCAGAUGACUUCUUGAUUAGCUGUCAGUGUAUGUUUAAAUUCUGGAAACGGACCCAACGCCUCGGUAGAUUAAAUAGACGCAUCUAUGGUUCACGUCACUCGACCCUCUGGUAGUGCACAGUUUAAAUAUUAUUGGAUUUGGUCGUACGACCAAGGCAUGAUUUACGCAUGGUUGUAUUGCUUGACUUGAAACUUAUCAAAGUUAUUAGUGCCUCUUCUAGCUUAAGAAUAUACAUAUAAGUGAUCAAAAGGAAUUUGGAAAUUUCUAUAAAAGAAAGAAUUGUUUACUUGCUUCAACCUAUUGUUUUAAAGUCAUGUUUAUAAAAGUUCACAAGUUAAUAGAUUGUUGAUAUGACAUUAUUGUACCAUUACUAAGUGUCAAAAUCGACCUCUAGUUUCUACUUCUUCGAGUUUAGACGGGAUACUCAUUGGACAUAUGUUGUUUUCAUACUCAUACUACACUUUUGUGCAUUUUUUUUGUAAAGGCACAUGCAUCUUUAGUGGCUUGGUGGGCAUAGCAGCAUGGUUGAUACGGAGACUUAGGUGAGCUCCACUUCCCGAGGCGAUCCGCAGCCAGCAGAGUCUCGUUCAGAUUACUGUAUUUAUUUUCUGUCCAAUUUUGUAUUCCGAAUGAUUAUUGUAUUAUAUUAUCUUCUUAGAAAAUUACUCAUGCACCUGUGAUACUGGGUUCUGGGAUGAUUAUAG